rnacentral:misc_RNA from 1 species
UACAUAGGGUCCGAGCGUUAUCCGGAAUUAUUGGGCGUAAAGCGCUCGCAGGCGGUCCUUUAAGUCUGAUGUGAAAUCUCGCGGCUCAACCGCGAAAGGUCAUUGGAAACUGGGGGACUUGAGUACAGAAGAGGAGAGUGGAAUUCCACGUGUAGCGGUGAAAUGCGUAGAGAUGUGGAGGAACACCAGUGGCGAAGGCGACUCUCUGGUCUGUAAUUGACGCUGAGGCUCGAAAGCGUGGGGAGCGAACAGG